UAUGGCCGAGUAGGUUAGGCACUUUGUUUGGGUCAAAGACCAGUUACGUUCGAAUCGUAAUAAUCCGAAUUAAGAUCUUAUAGAGAUUAAAGACUAAAAAAAUUAAAGAUAUGUAAUUUAUAUUUAUAUAUGUAUAUGAAAAUAUACGUAUAUGCAAGUAUAUAAAGAAAUUAUUAUGGAAAGUUAGCUGUAUAUUAAAGAGAAAAUGUAUAACUAUGUUAGUAAUCUAAUAUAAGUUUUAUAAACUCUAAGAGAAAUCCAAUGAUAAACUAAGCGAAUUGAAAUAUCUUAGUAGCUUAAGGAAAAGAAAUCAAAAGAGAUUCUAAGAAUAGCGUGAGUGAAAUUAGAAGAGUCUAAAAGUAAAAUGGUUAAUAAACUGUUUGAAUUAUAUGGGGAACCUUCCUCAAAGACUAAAUAUAAUAUACAAGCGAUAGCGAAAAGUACCAUGAGGGAAAAUUAGAAAAAUAGUAAUUUUAUAAGCAGUUCGAAGCGUAAGCUAUAGAACGUACCUUUUGCAUAAUGGGUCACCAAGUUAACAUUAGAUGCAAGAAUAUUCGUAGGUAAACCGGACGUUAAAAUAACGAUAAGAGUAUCUAAAGUUAGACCCGAAGCCUGGUGAUUUUACCACAAUCAGGAUUAUAAAAGUCCGAACGGGUUAUUGUUGCAAAAAUAUCCGAAGAAUUGUGGUAGGUGUAGUGAAAGACAAUACUGACCAGGAUAGCUGGUUUUCUGCGAAACCUAUAAUAGUAGGCAAUUCAAGUAAAAUAUCUUAGCAGGUACAGAACUUAAUCUCAGACAAAUGAUUGUGCAUAUUGGGGAAUCGUGAAGAUUUUACCAGUGAGUAUGCAGACUCGGAAUGGCAAAGAUAAAGCUUGAAUGAUCAGACAUAGAAUGAUAAGGUUGUAUGUCAAAAGGGAAACAGCCCAGAACAAGAGUUAAGGUUCCUAAAUUAUUAGUUAAGUGAAAUGAAGAAUGUAUCUAUUUAAGUCGACAAGGAGAUAGGCUUAGAAGCAGCCACAAUUUUAUGACCUCGUAACAGAGCACUUGUUAAUGUAUAGAUAGCGUCGAUAAUAUAACGGAUCUAAACAAUAUACCGAAACCUUGUCCAUGAUACAUUAUAAAGAAAGUCUUUAUAAUUUCGUGGGGUAGCAGAACGUUGAAUUAACUUAUGACUUUCAUUUUUUAAAUGGAAUUAUAACUAGUGAAUUCAAGUGAGAAUGGUGACAUGAGUAACUAAAAGAAAGAAAUUUCCGCCUAAAGCUUAUGGAUAGAGUUAAGUACGGCCUCUAAGUUUAAAAUCUAAAGGUUUGAACGAUGAGAAAAUCUUAUUUAUUUAAGACGACAUUUUUUAGUGGAAAAUGUACUGGAAAAAUAAUAAUAUAUUUAUAGGUAAUCUAUAAACGAAAUGUAACCGUACCUAGAUACUGAAACAAGUAAGCUAGUAGAGAAUACGAAGGCGUAUGAGCUAACAAUCAUAAAGGAACUCGGCAAAUUGACUACUGUAACUUCGGGAUAAGGAGAGCUCAUAAUUCUUGAUUAAUAUCAAGUAAAAAGGAAGAAGCAUAAAAUAAUGUUGUACGACUGUUUAAUUAAAACACAGCACUUUGCUGAAAGAUAAAAAAAUCUAAGUAUAAAGUGUGAAAUCUGCCCGGUGCCGGCUGGUUAAUAGAGAUAAUUGAAUGGUCUAACAUUUGAUGUCGACAGAACCCCCGGUUAAAGGCGGCCUUAACGUGAGGGUCCUAAGGUAGCGAAAUGCCUUGGCCGUUAAAUGCGGUCUUGCAUGAAUGGUGUAACGAUACAACAGCUGUCUCUAUGAUUGACUCGGUGAAAUUGGAAUAGCUGUGCAGAUACAGCUUACCUCUAGUUAGACGAGAAGACCCUAUGCAGCUUUACUGUCACUAAUAAUAGAGUAUGAUAAACAUCUUUCAGUCUAAAAGGUAAUAGAUAGAUAUAAUCAUGAGAAGCCUUUAAUUGUUUUUCAUAUGAAUGAGACGAUUUAAAUUUAUAAGCCCUAUGGGUUACUAAUUUAUUUAUUAUGAAUUUUACUGAAUUUUUAAUAACUUGCUUUUGCUUGUUAUCUUAAUAAAUAUUUUAGAUUUAUUUAAAUACAACUAGUCUCUGCCUAUUUAUAGGUGACCUUGGUGGAGGAACUAUUACUAGGAGACAGUUUAUGUGGGGCACAGACCCUGUAAAGAGUAAACAGGAGUGUCUAAUAAUUUAGAAUUUUGUUUGUAAUUUUAGAUAGAUAAACUAUUUUUUAUCGUAUUUACUUAACUAUACUUAUAUACAUUUUUUUGUACUAGGUAUAGUUAAAAUAAUUUGAAGGUAGAAUUUUGACUAUAUAGAAGUUAGUGACAAUUGAGAAGAUUAUAAAGUAAUUUUAAUCUUUUUUAGCUAUUUGUAUAAAUAGUAAUGUAUAAUGUCUACAAAGCUCAACGGCUUAAUUCUGCCUUACUGUUUGAUUAUCUACAAAUCUUACAGUUGCGUAAGCAGGGCAUAGGAUCACAAGAUACAAUAAGGAAAGAUCUUGGAUUAUUGGAAAAGCUACGCUAGGGAUGUUUGUCCUUUAAUAUUUUAUUUACUAGGCUCCGCCUAAAUGUGUGUGUAUGCUUAUUAAUGGCUACUCACAUAUAUAAAAAUAAAAUAAUUGAUUUAAAU
rnacentral:rRNA from 1 species